UGAAAGAUCAUAUCUCUUUCGAUAAUUAUUAGAAGAUGUCCUACUACUACGUGGUGUGUGUAGUUGUUGCAUUCUUGCUGCUCAGUCAGUUGGAAUUUGCUGAAAUGCUUCCAGCACCAUUUUUUUUUAAGCCCAGCGGAUUUGAUUCCAAUCUUUCACUCGGCUAAAAUGUCAAGCUUUAAGCAAGACAAAGACUUCGAUAAAAUUAUGCAACAGGACGGAAGACACCAUUCGGCAACAAAACACGCAUAAGCAUUGUCUGAUGUUCUUUCGGCUCAAAUAAAGUCUUCUGAAAUGUU